rnacentral:rRNA from 1 species
GACGAACGCUGGCGGCGCGCCUAACACAUGCAAGUCGAGCGAGAACCGGAGCUUCGGCUCCGGGGACAGCGGCGAACGGGUGAGUAACACGUGGAUAACCUGCCCUCGGCACCGGAAUAGCCCGGGGAAACUCGGAUUAAUGCCGGAUAGCCCCACAUCCUCUCGGGGAACGUGGGAAAGGUAGCUUCGGCCUCUGGCCGGGGAGUGGGUCCGCGGUGGAUUAGCUUGUUGGCGGGGUAACGGCCCACCAAGGCGACGAUCCAUAGCUGGUCUGAGAGGACGAUCAGCCACACUGGGACUGAGACACGGCCCAGACUCCUACGGGAGGCAGCAGUGGGGAAUCUUGCGCAAUGGGCGAAAGCCUGACGCAGCGACGCCGCGUGCGGGAAGAA